AAACUCACCAGGUCAGGACACGGUAAGGAUUGACGGACUGAAGGCUCUUUCUCGAUUCCGUGGAAAGUGGUGCAUGGCCGUUUUUGGUUGGUGGAUCGAUCCGUCUGGUUAAUUCCGUUAACGAACGAGACCUCGGCACUCCGAAUAGCGCGGCGGACGUCGCGGCCUCCGGGCCGUCUUCCGCACGAGCUUCUUAGAGGGACCGUCCCCCGCCGGGGAAGGAGGUGCGAGGCAACGACAGGUCUGUGAGCCCUUAGAUGUUCUGGGCCGCACGCGCAUUACACUGACGCGUCCAACGGGUGACUCCCGACCCGAAGGGGCCGGGGAAUCCGCAAGGCGCGUCGUGAUGGGGAUUGAACGUUGCAAUUGUUGUUCACGAACGAGGAAUUCCUAGUAGGCGCGGGUCAUCAACCCGCGCCGAUUACGUCCCUGCCCUUUGU
rnacentral:rRNA from 1 species